rfam:Glomerella graminicola M1.001 genomic scaffold supercont1.6, whole genome shotgun sequence.
GGCCGGUUGGCCCAAUGGCAAGGCGUCUGACUACGAUUCCGUCAAAAAGAUUCGUGUAAUCAGGAGAUUCUGGGUUCGACCCCCAGGCUGGUCA